AGCAGCCGCGGUAAUUCCAGCUCCAAUAGCGUAUAUUAAAGUUGUUGCAGUUAAAAGCUCGUAGUUGAAUUUCGGGAUCAAUUUAUCGGUCGUGCCAAUGGUAUGAACUGGUACAAUUGGUUUCUCCCUUCUGAAGAACCAUGAUGUCAUUAACUUGGUGUUGUGGGGAAUCAGGACUGUUACUUUGAAAAAUUAGAGUGUUUAAAGCAGGCUUAGACUUGAAUACAUUAGCAUGGAAUAAUGAAAUAGGACGCUUGAUCCUAUUUCGUUGGUUUUAGGAUCGACGUAAUGAUUAAUAGGGAUAGUUGGGGGCAUUAGUAUUCAAUUGUCAGAGGUGAAAUUCUUGGAUUUAUUGAAGACUAACUACUGCGAAAGCA
rnacentral:misc_RNA from 1 species